GUGAGUCAUCGAAUCUUUGAACGCACCUUGCGCUCCUUGGUAUUCCGAGGAGCAUGCCUGUUUGAGUGUCAUUAAAUUCUCAACCCCUUCAGCUUUUGCAAGUUGUAAUGGGGCUUGGAUGUUGGGGGUUUGCGGGCCUUUAUUAUAAUAGAGGUCGGCUCUCCUGAAAUGCAUUAGCGGAACCGUUUGCAGUUCUAUCAUUAGUGUGAUAAUUAUCUACACUGUGAUGAUUGCUCUCUGACUAGUUCAGCUGCUAAUCGUCCACUUGUUGGACAAUACAUAUAAUGAACCUCUUGACCU
rnacentral:misc_RNA from 1 species